rnacentral:rRNA from 1 species
GAUGAACGCUGGCGGCGUGCCUAAUACAUGCAAGUCGAGCGAACAGACGAGGAGCUUGCUCCUUUGACGUUAGCGGCGGACGGGUGAGUAACACGUGGGUAACCUACCUAUAAGACUGGGAUAACUUCGGGAAACCGGAGCUAAUACCGGAUAAUAUUUCGAACCGCAUGGUUCGAUAGUGAAAGAUGGCUUUGCUAUCACUUAUAGAUGGACCUGCGCCGUAUUAGCUAGUUGGUAAGGUAACGGCUUACCAAGGCAACGAUACGUAGCCGACCUGAGAGGGUGAUCGGCCACACUGGAACUGAGACACGGUCCAGACUCCUACGGGAGGCAGCAGUAGGGAAUCUUACGCAAUGGGCGAAAGCCUGACGGAGCAACGCCGCGUGAGUGAUGAAGGUCUUCGGAUCGUAAAACUCUGUUAGUAGGGAAGAACAAACGUGUAAGUAACUGUGCACGUCUUGACGGUACCUAAUCAGAAAGCCACGGCUAACUACGUG